rnacentral:rRNA from 1 species
AUACGUAGGGUGCGAGCGUUAAUCGGAAUUACUGGGCGUAAAGCGUGCGCAGGCGGUUUUGUAAGACAGUGGUGAAAUCCCCGGGCUCAACCUGGGAACUGCCAUCGUGACUGCAAGGCUGGAGUGCGGCAGAGGGGGAUGGAAUUCCGCGUGUAGCAGUGAAAUGCGUAGGUAUGCGGAGGAACUCCGAUGGCGAAGGCAAUCCACUGGUCCUGCACUGACGCUCAUGCACGAAAGCGUGGGGAGCAAACAGGAUUAGAUACCCUGUUAUUCCACGCCCUAAACGAUGUCAACUGGUUGUUUGGAAUUUAUUUUCUCAGUAACUAAGCUAACGCGUGAAGUUGAACGCCUGGGGAGUACGGCCGCAAGGUUAAAGCUCAAAGGGAUUGAGGUAG